rnacentral:lncRNA from 1 species
GCGGGUUUCCGAGGACAUGACCCUUGAUAGGAAAGUCUGGAGGUCUAGUAUCAGGGUUGUAGGAUAGGGGUUCCUAGAGUUUUUCAUACUCCUCACCCCGGGUUGGGUGAGGCUUGGCAGGGCUAUCCAUAGAUGAUGUAUGUUUUGGAUUGCGUCUCCCUUAUGAUAGUUAUUUAUGGUAGUUACUGUAUGAUAUUAUUGCAUGUUAUUUUAUUUAUGGUUCUUAUGUUUAGAUAAUUAUUUACGCUAUUUCUGCGGGAGUUACGAAUACUUUUUUGUUUUUGUUUUUGUUUUUGUUUUUCCUUUCCUUCUCUAAGCCGAGGGUCGAAUGGAAACAGCCUCUCUGCCCUUUCGGGUAGGGGUAAAGCUCGUCUACAUAUUACCCUCCCCAAACCCCACUUUGUGGGACUAUAUUGGAUAGUUGUUGUCGUUGCUUCUACUCCUUUCUCUCUUGCUCUACUUUAUUUUUUCAUUUAAAAAGUUCACAAUCUUUGGGAUAACCUAGUGAAUAGUGUUGAAAGGUAGAUAAAGGGUUGGUGUUUAGUAUAAUUGUAACAACUCUAAAUUUUUAUUUUUGUUUUUGUUUUUGUUUUUCUUUUACUUCUCUGAGCCGAGGGUCGAUUGGAAAUAGCCUCUCUGCCCUUUCAGGUAGGGGUAAGGCUCGUCUACAUAUUACCCUCCCCAGACCCCACUUUGUUG